rnacentral:misc_RNA from 1 species
AAUAAAUGUGAUGCUUUUCCUUUUCCUUUGGUACAUAUCUUGAAAUAGGUGUAGCUAUAAUAUUUUUCAAGAAAAGAUAAUAAUAGAGUAGUAGUGUUGAAAAUGUAAAUAUGGGAGGUUUGUGAUCUUGGGUGUGCUGGUUUGAUGAUAGUUUGAUGAUUAGUUAUCACUAGCAAUACUAAUUCCAAAAACUUCCUAGUGCGUCAAUAUAGGAUUCUUGUAGAUAAAAAAAUAUCAAGUUUAAGUGGUAGUGCUUUUUUGCCAAUGAAAGUGCUCACUAAAUGUGAAAAUAAAGAAGGCAUGCCUUUUAAAACCUUGAUCCUGGAGCAAAGGCGCGCACCCAGGCGCAUAAGGCGCCACGGUUUGAACCUGGUGAGCCUUGAUCCUGAGGCGCGCCUCUAAUAACUAUGCUAAUAUUCCUAAUCUAACAAAAAGUUGGAUUCCAUUUGCAAGUACCAAACUUGAAUGAUUUAAUUACUAACCAACUAAGUAAAAGCUGAUAAGAAUGAAAGACUGAAAAUAUGGAAACAAAAACAAUGUACCCCCUUCAUUCUUUCUGAAUAAAACUCCUUUUCUGAAAAAAAGGAGAAAAAGAAACAAGCAAUGUUUUUUCGAUAACAGAGAAUAAUUAUUAGAAGCAAAACUGCUAUGAAUGGAAAAUUACUCAUGGAGUGAAAUUUUAUUUUUACCAAGUGUACUUUCUUAUCAUUACCUUUAUCAAAAGAAUAUACAUAUAAAGCAAAGAGCAAAAAUCAAAAGUUUAACCAAAGGAUACCUAAAAUCUCAAAAGUAGCUGCAGGCAAUUUAUUUGUCUUUAAACAUUGCCCUAAGAUUUAUACAUUUGUUUAUAAAUUUUGUAAUACUUAAAUUAUUUAGUUCUACUUUUUUUUUUUUAAAUGUUCUUUUGAUAUGCUUAUAAAUACUUAAAAAUUUGUGACAUUAUUUUAACCAUGGAUGGUGGUUUGAGUUUCAUUCAACUUCCACCAUCAAUUAUAAGAUUUUUAACUUGAUCAGCACAGCAAUCUAUUUUUUUUGAAAUAUGGAUGUAUGCCACCAAUGUUUGAUCUUUUGUUUAGAUGCAUAUAAAAUGCAUCUAGCACCUGAGAGAAGAAAAGUAUCUAUUUUAUCCUUUUUCAAUUGAUUGAGAUCAUAAACCCCAUGGUCAUACUGUAUCUCUAUGUCCCUUCUCCAUGUCCCAUCAAAAGAAAGCUUGCCAUAAGUUGGGAUCUUUUUGCUUUGAUACCUAACUGAUGGGAUCUUUUUGCUUUGAUACCUAACUGAUGUAGGAUAGAUUUGAAAUAAUUCUUUGUAAAGAAUUUUCAAAGAUUCUCCCACAGUAAAUGGGUGCAAUUAUUGUUUAAUAAUCUUGACCACAAGCUUGUGGAUAUGUUUGAUAUGUGAUAACCAAGUAAGAAAAUUAGUGUUGUUAUUGCUGCUAACAUUUUCAGGUCAGGGGUUAGAAUAUGGCUAUUAAUGGUGAUGUGAAUUGUAGUUACCCUCAAUGAAUUUAUUUGUAUUUGACUGUGUUAGAAUGUAUUGCAACCAUAUUAAUUUUAUGAGCAGGGAAACCAAGACUAUUGCUCU